rnacentral:tRNA from 1 species
AGUAAAGUCAGCUAAUUAAGCUUUUGGGCCCAUACCCCGAACAUGUUGGUUAGAUCCCUUCCCUUACUA